GUGGGCUAACUUUCUCUUUGGUGUUUGCGCUGCAGUUUGAAUGACUGCAACGGAUACAAAGGAUUUCGUGCAAACCGUUACAUGAUAUUGUGAAAUUCUGCAACAGCUGUGGUAUCUAAUUACUGCCCGUUAUCGACAUAUCGAUGAAGUGAUUUUAUUUUUUUGCAGCCAGAUGAGGGUAUUUUUUGUAACUGUCAUUUUUUAUUUUCUCUGCACUUAAAAAUCUAUACAAGCAAACAUUCUUGUUUCUAACAUGCAUAUUUAUGGAUCAAUCAUUAACUCUACAUAAAAAAAAUGUAGUAAAAAUUUUGUUCCUUUGAGUAAACAAACAAAAAAGGAUGCAAUUAAGUUUUUUGUAACGGGAUGGUGGCAAUUAAGUUUUUUUGUAACGGGAUGUUGGUGGUUCAUGCUGUUUGACAUCUUCUUUAAUUUUGACUGCACAGAAGAAAUCAAUGCAUUUGAAGGUCUGAUUGAGGUUUUGAUCAAACACUUCACAGCAAAACAACGUACAAAUUGUUAUUUCAUUGACAAAAAGAAGGAUUGGACUAUAAGCCUUCAAUAUUAUCUUGAAUUUUAAGUUAUUCAAUAACACAUUUAUAUUUGUAGAAAAA
rnacentral:lncRNA from 1 species